rnacentral:rRNA from 1 species
ACGAGAGGUGCAAACGUUGUCCGGAAUUACUGGGCGUAAAGAGCACGUAGGCGGUUUGAUAAGUCAUCUAUUAAAGACCGGGGCUUAACCCCGGGAAAGUGGAUGAUACUGUCAUACUAGAAUCUGGCAGGGGCUAGUAGAACACUCGGUGGAGGGGUGACAUCCGUAGAUAUCGAGUGGAAUACCAAAGGCGAAGGCAGCUAGCUGGGCCAGUAUUGACGCUGAGGUGCGAAAGCGUAGGUAGCGAUCG